rnacentral:rRNA from 1 species
CAGCAUGCCGCGGUGAAUACGUUCCCGGGCCUUGUACACACCGCCCGUCACACCAUGGGAGCCGGUAAUACCCGAAGUCAGUAGUCCAACCUCGUGAGGACGCUGCCGAAGGUAGGAUUGGCGACUGGGGUGAAGUCGUAACAAGGUACC